CACCUUGCUCUUGGGGAGACUCGAACUCACAACCUCUCGGUUGGAAGUGGCGGUUGCCUACCAACAGAGUAACCCCUCUUGUCUGGAGACUGUGAGAAAGCACGGGAGAAAAAUAUAACUGAGAUUAAACAUGAUACAAUGAGCUCUACAUAUACACACAUAACAUAUCCUACUCCUAAUAGACAUUGGAUUAGGCUACUCCUAAUACACAUUGGAUUAGGGUUCUACUAU
rnacentral:lncRNA from 1 species